AGAGUUUGAUCCUGGCUCAGGACGAACGCUGGCGGCGUGCAUAACACAUGCAAGUCACGGGGGGUAGCAAUACCAACCGGCGAACGGGUGCGUAACACGUGAGCAAUCUGCCAUUGUGUGGGGCAUAGCCGGCCUAACGGCCGGGUAAUUCCGCAUACGAUCCUUGGGGGGCAUUCCUCGGGGAUGAAACGAGUAAUCGG
rnacentral:rRNA from 1 species